rnacentral:rRNA from 1 species
UUUGGGUUUAUUUUGCGCAGUAUAGGUGGGAGGCUAAGAUAAUAAGCUUGAGGGCUUAUUGGAGCCAAUAGUGAGAUACCACUCUAAAUAAACUAGAAUUCUAACUUUGAUAGUCGUUAACCGGCCAAAGAACAGUUUCAGGUGGGCAGUUUGACUGGGGCGGUCGCCUCCUAAAAGGUAACGGAGGCGUGCAAAGGUUCCUUCAGGCUGGUCGGAAAUCAGUCGUAGAGUGUAAAGGCAUAAGGGAGCUUGACUGCAAGACCUACAAGUCGAGCAGAGACGAAAGUCGGCCUUAGUG